GAUGAAGAACGCAGCGAAAUGCGAUAAGUAAUGCGAAUUGCAGAAUUUCCGUGAGUCAUCGAAUCUUUGAACGCACAUUGCGCCCACUGGUAUUCCGGUGGGCAUGCCUGUUCGAGCGUCAUUAUCCUCCCUCAAACCCCGGGUUUGGUGUUGGACCCAAGUUGUGUGAACAACUGGUCUCAAAGACAAUGACGGCGUCCGUGGGACCCUCGGUGCAACGAGCUUUUAGGAGCACGCAUCGAGUUGCAAGGACCUUCCGGGCCGGUCUCCUUUACCAUUUUACAAGGUUGACCUCGGAUCAGGUAGGAAUACCCGCCGAACUUAAGCAUAUCAAUAAGCGGAGGA
rnacentral:misc_RNA from 1 species